CAGCAGCCACGGUAAAACGAUGGGUGCAAGCGUUAAUCGGAAUUACUGGGCGUAAAGCGUGCGUAGGCGGUUUGUUAAGUCUGCUGUGAAAUCCCCGGGCUCAACCUGGGAAUGGCAGUGGAUACUGGCUCGCUAGAGUGUGUCAGAGGAUGGUGGAAUUCCCGGUGUAGCGGUGAAAUGCGUAGAGAUCGGGAGGAACAUCAGUGGCGAAGGCGGCCAUCUGGGACAACACUGACGCUGAGGCACGAAAGCGUGGGGAGCAAUCAGGAUUAGAUACCCCCGUAGUCCCUGUCUCUUAUAA
rnacentral:rRNA from 1 species